GAUCUGGCUCAGGACGAACGCUGGCGGCGUGCUUAACACAUGCAAGUCGAACGAGAAUCUACUGAAAGAGUUUUCGGACAAUGGAAGUAGAGGAAAGUGGCGGACGGGUGAGUAACGCGUGAGGAACCUGCCUUGAAGAGGGGGACAACAGUUGGAAACGACUGCUAAUACCGCAUGAAGCAUAGGGGUCGCAUGAUUCUUAUGCCAAAGAUUUAUCGCUUCAAGAUGGCCUCGCGU
rnacentral:rRNA from 1 species